rnacentral:misc_RNA from 1 species
CGAACUCUUCUUCGUUAGCUUGAUUUUGUCGGAACCCUCCAGAUGGUCCACCUGUCCGACAGUUUUCUUGUCUGACGAGAUGAUGUCCAUGUGUUCUUUCACUUGCGAUGUGUCCGGCAUUGAUAAAACUCCUAUGGUUGGGAACAUCAAACGCGCGACAGUCCGUAAGGUUGCGUAUGUCCGAGAUGAUCAGAAGAUGCCGCUCCGUACCGGCGGGGCAUUGGAGAAUCGGGAUGUUAUCACGGAGCAAGCCCAUGGCCGCUUGUUCCGUGGCAUACAGGUUUUCUCGCCGAUGCCGGGAGAACGCGAGUAGUCAUCAAUCGGCAUUGUGGCCGAGGUGUUGC